GAUGAAGAACGUAGCGAAAUGCGAUAAGUAAUGUGAAUUGCAGAAUUCAGUGAAUCAUCGAAUCUUUGAACGCACCUUGCGCCCUUUGGACAUUCCGAAGGGCAUGCCUGUUUGAGUAUCAUGAACACCUCAACUUUCACGGCUUGUCCGUGAUGAGCUUGGACUUUGGGGGUCUUGCCGGCCUGUGGUCGGCUCCUCUCAAAUGGAUCAGCUUGCCAGUGUUUGGUGGCAUCACAGGUGUGAUAACUAUCUGCGCUUGUGGUUUUCCAUCAGAUAACCUUCAGUGAUAUGGAGGUUCGCUGGAGCUCACAAAUGUCUCUCCUUAGUGAGGACAGCUCUUUGAACGUUUGAUCUCAAAUCAGGUAGGACUACCCGCUGAACUUAAGCAUAUCAAUAAGCGGAGGA
rnacentral:misc_RNA from 1 species